rnacentral:lncRNA from 1 species
GCUUUAGUGACGUUAGCUCUUUCGUUAUCCUAUUAGUGGGGGGUGUUUGAUAGGGUUGCUAAUGUUUUGUCUGCCAUCUAUCCGAAAAGAAGGCUGCCUCCCUCCCAAAGUGCGUGAGAGAAAAGCCAACUCCAUAAGCAAACUAGUUCAUGCGAAGUAAAGCUGAGCUAAGAUCUGGCCCAUGCCAAUACCAUUUUACCACCCACCGACGUUGACAACCACAUACGGAAUCUUAGAUUUGCCAUUUGAACUUGAACAGAUUUUUCCCUUUUAGAGCCGGAUAAAUGCACUCCAUCCAGCGAGCGCCCCAUGCUCCAAGCUUCUAUUCCGAUUGUUGAGGUGUAAGAUAGCUGGUCUCAAUAAUUUCUCUCUCCAUGGCCAUCAAAUUCGACCAUUCCCAUGGGAGCUUAUAGGUAAAUUGCUUUUCAAUCAUCCAUUUAGAUAGCUCAUACUUUAAUUUGUUGGGAAUAUGCAUUGUCUUCUCUUUUACGAACCAGCGACCUAUGUAUUUAGUACAAACUAUAAUACACGGAGCGCCAUUAUGCAGGCUGUCGGAUGAAACAAGUUAGGUAUCGCAAUAAAUAUAUAUAUAUUUUUUUCUGUAAAAGCUGUGAUGCCGAAUUACAUCAAGUAGGAAAAGGGUGGGGAUCAAAGGAAGAAAAAAAAAAUCUAAAAUUUCUAUCCUAGGCGCAAUAAUACUCGCAUGCGUACAAGAAUACAUGGCCUUCACCUUCAAGCCAAUGCCAGAUGCGUGGGGCCCACUCGUAAUUCAGGGUGCUCAUGCUCCCAUGGGACAAGUAUAAUUGCUGAUCCUGUCUCCCUCCGAAGGGUCGACGUGUUAGAAGAUCCACAUUUUGCUGGCCGAGGACAGAGACCUGCGCCCGUCGUUGACCCUGCUGCUACUGGUGACGACAGACAGCUGGAGGACUUAUGUCAGCAAUGUCCGGCCUUGUCCACUUUCUUGAUCUUUGUCUGGUUCUGAGGUCCUCAGGAUAUCUCCGCG